GCAAACGUGGGGUAGUGGUAACCUGGGUCGUUGCCACCUGCAAAGGCAUUAUAAGCUGCUCUUGCAUCGACCCGCCCCAAGCUCGAUUCUCGGCGUUUGCA